rfam:Luteipulveratus sp. C296001 unitig_0_quiver_44, whole genome shotgun sequence.
UUUGACAAUCGCAGGGGCGAGUGGGACCGUUCAGCCACCGAACACCUGUCGGACGAGGGAAAGCCGGUGAGACGCCGGCGCUGACCCGCAACCGUGUGCGCCUCACCGCGCGAGCCGGAGCACCUCCCGUCAGGCUCGGCUCCAU